rnacentral:rRNA from 1 species
UACAGAGGUCUCAAGCGUUGUUCGGAUUCAUUGGGCGUAAAGGGUUCGUAGGCGGCGCGGUAAGUCGGGUGUGAAAUCUCGGAGCUUAACUUCGAAACUGCAUUCGAUACUGCCGUGCUUGAGGACUGGAGAGGAGACUGGAAUUUACGGUGUAGCGGUGAAAUGCGUAGAUAUCGUAAGGAAGACCAGUGGCGAAGGCGGGUCUCUGGACAGUUCCUGACGCUGAGGCACGAAGGCCAGGGGAGCAAACGGG